AGCAGCCGCGGUAAUUCCAGCUCCAAUAGCGUAUAUUAAAGUUGUUGCAGUUAAAAAGCUCGUAGUUGAAUUUCGGGGUCAGUAGGCCGGUCGUGCCAACGGUAUGUACUGGUCUUACUGAUUCCUCCUUCCUGAUGAACCGUAAUGCCAUUAAUUUGGUGUUGCGGGGAAUCUGGACUGUUACUUUGAAAAAAUUAGAGUGUUUAAAGCAGGCUAACGCUUGAAUACAUUAGCAUGGAAUAAUGAAAUAGGACGAUCGAUCCUAUUUUGUUGGUUUCUAGGAUUGACGUAAUGAUUAAUAGGGAUAGUUGGGGGCAUUAGUAUUCAAUUGUCAGAGGUGAAAUUCUUGGAUUUAUUGAAGACUAACUACUGCGAAAGCAUUUGCCAAGGAUGUUUUCAUUAAUCAAGAACGAAAGUUAGGGAUCGAAGACGAUCAGAUACCGUCGUAGUCUUAACCAUAAACUAUGCCGACUAGGGAUCGGAUGAUGUUAAUUUUUAUGUACUCAUUCGGCGCCUUAAC
rnacentral:rRNA from 1 species